CAGCCACAUCACAUUGAAAUGCAGGUUCCCCAUGCGAUCACUGAAGUUAAGCAAGGUCAAGACUGGUCAGCACUUAGAUUGGUGACUACUUUGGAAUACCAGGUGCUGUAAG